CCGCACUGAUGAUACCUAUGAACUCUCUCUUACUGAGCUUCCAGUGGAGACAAGACUUUAUAAUCUGAGUGGC
rfam:Xenopus laevis strain J chromosome 4L, whole genome shotgun sequence.